GUGUCAGGGAGUUGGUCCAAACCCGCACCAUCCAAACUAACCGUCAAGGACCGCGCUCUACGUCAAAAGUGGUCGUUUGGUUGGUGGUGCAAGGAGGUAACAAAAAUGUGAACCUCCAAGUUGGCAGAGCGCGCCAACCCGAGAAUCUGUUAGAGCGCAAUGGCGGAGGCCAUCCGGUUUUUAUCCAAGACAAAGACACAAAACCAAAGACACCAAAACCGUUGCUGCGCCAGGCCUGGCCGGAGGAAGAACCUCCGACUUGACUCGACCACCGCGGGAUACACUAGAACACACGAACACACACACACAUGUUUAGGUUAGUUUUAAAUCGACGUAAAAUCAAUAAAUUAGGACAACUUAAAACGCAAUAAACAUGACU